AUUCCUUCGAGUGUCCCUGAAGAUUCUAAUGAAACAGCUCCAAUAUAUAUAGGACUUUUUAUUCUUCCUAAUCCUCAAGAUGUAUAUACAACAGAAGUGCCAAGGACACAAUUAGGCAGCCAAAGGCAAAGAGGAAGCUACGCACAUGGUUCAAAUCUAACUAAUCCAUUUUGGAAUAUCUAUGGUACAUUUAACAACCAUGCACCACCACGUUAUCCUGGUUACCAAACACAACGUCCACAAAGAGGAAACCAGUCCAGGACAGAUUCAGGUAUUUCAGGCAAAUAAAAAUAAUUUAUUUACAUUUCCACAUUUUUCA